rnacentral:lncRNA from 1 species
GGUGAAUGUAAAAGCUUUAAGGAGAAGUUCAUGAAGUGUCUCCGUGACAAUAACUUUGAAAAUGCUUUGUGCAGAAAUGAAUCAAAAGAAUAUUUAGAAUGCAGGAUGGAGAGGCAACUGAUGGCACAGGAGCCCCUGGAAAAACUGGGCUUUGGAGAUUUGAAGGACGGAAAGUCUGACCGAGACUGAACCUGGUGAAAGGCCGCACAGCUGUGGGGGGUCCGGACGACCCCGCCCCCGGCGGCUGGCGUGUUGGUACCACGGCUCGGGGUGGGGGGGCUCUGGGGGCGCCCGCCAGAUGCCGCUGGAAGUCAGAACGGACGCCCCUCCCCGAGGACGCAGCUCGUGGCCGGGCAGGGGCUGGUCUUCGACGCUCCCGAGGAUGUCGGAAACCCGUCGCCCCGCCACAGCCCUGCCGACCCCGCGGCGUUGGGUGCGUCUGAAGUCGCGGGUGUGACGGGCUCCCGCGGAGGUGGCUGCCAUGUGGCGUGCGCCCAGCGACUGGUCAGCUCGGGCUCCUGGGGACGCUGGUUCGCAUCGCGGUCUCGGCGCGUUUUGUGUGUGACGUGCGAAAGGGUCGCAGUGUCGUCGUUGGGCACAUGGGUCGUCGGGAAGUCGUCCCCCAGCACUCGGGUUCCUCUUCGUAUCUUGGACGCAGACACAAGUGCCCCUCACCUCCUUUUUUUAACAAGAACAGAGGACGAGCCCAGAAGUGGGAAAUGGGCUUUUGACGUAUCUGACGUCUCGAUUUUUUUUUUAUGGUGACGCCUGGCACCGAGUAUCUGUCUGAUCAAGGCUCGUUUUCUGGUUCAUAUCAGACCGUGUUUGUAAAACUAGAUGUUGGGUUGGUUCCAAGAACGCAUUUGCUGUCGCUGAGAGACAGAAUGUCUCCGUGGGUCAGUCGUUUUGCACAUGUGGCCUCCCAGGCCUUUGAGGACGCUCGUGAGCCCCCGGCCGGCGCUGCAGCAGCCCGUGCCCGCUGCCCGGAGCGCCGUCAGAACAGACGUCACAGGUGUGCAGACCUGCAGCGAGUGUCUGGGGUGACGCCGCGUGGGCUCAGAACCACAGCAGGGCGCCGUGCCCGAGGGUCUGAGGCAGCCCUCUCGGGAGGAACCAGGACUCCUGGAAGAAAUGGCUGAGUCCAGGCCCAAGGCCCAGAAAGCCAGGGGAGCCUCUUACGCCGGAAAGGACGGCAUCACCUCAGUGUAGUGAGAACACGCAGGCCAGCCGGGCCCGAGGGACAAGCUGUGACGGGAAGACGGGUGCGCCUCAGAGGCGCCUGCCGGGGCCAGGGUCCUGGGAGGCCUGAGGACCCGCAGGCCAGGUGGCGCUCAGAGGCGGUCCUCUGGGGAAGGGUGCCCACACGCCGGCCUGUCUCUCUAACCUUUUGGAAAUCUGGAAUUAUUUCAAAAUAAAGAGUUAAAAAAAA